rnacentral:rRNA from 1 species
UACAGAGGGUGCAAGCGUUAAUCGGAAUUACUGGGCGUAAAGCGUGCGUAGACGGUUAUGUAAGUCAGGUGUGAAAGCCCCGGGCUCAACCCAGGAAGUGCAUUCGAAACUAGCAGACUUGAGUACGGGAGAGGGUCGCGGAAUUCCCGGUGUAGAGGUGAAAUUCGUAGAUAUCGGGAGGAACACCAGUGGCGAAGGCGGCGACCUGGACCGAUACUGACGCUGAGACACGAAAGCGUGGGGAGCAAACAGG